AUUGAACGCUGGCGGCAGGCCUAACACAUGCAAGUCGAGCGGCAGCGGGAAAGUAGCUUGCUACUUCUGCCGGCGAGCGGCGGACGGGUGAGUAAUGCCUGGGAAAUUGCCCAGUCGAGGGGGAUAACAGUUGGAAACGACUGCUAAUACCGCAUACGCCCUACGGGGGAAAGCAGGGGACCUUCGGGCCUUGCGCGAUUGGAUAUGCCCAGGUGGGAUUAGCUAGUUGGUGGGGUAAUGGCUCACCAAGGCGACGAUACCUAGCUGGUCUGAGAGGAUGAUCAGCCACACUGGAACUGAGACACGGUCCAGACUCCUACGGGAGGCAGCAGUGGGGAAUAUUGCACAAUGGGGGAAACCCUGAUGCAGCCAUGCCGCGUGUGAAGAAGGCCUUCGGGUUGUAAAGCACUUUCAGCGAGGAGGAAAGGUUGAUGCCUAAUACGUAUCAACUGUGACGUUACUCGCAGAAGAAGCACCGGCUAACUCCGUGCCAGCAGCCGCCGUAAAAC
rnacentral:rRNA from 1 species